UACAGAGGUGGCAAGCGUUGUUCGGAAUUACUGGGCGUAAAGGGCGCGUAGGCGGUCGCCUAAGUCGGACGUGAAAUCCCCAAGCUUAACUUGGGAACUGCCUCCGAUACUGGCAGUCUCGAGUGCGGGAGAGGUGAGUGGAAUUCCCAGUGUAGAGGUGAAAUUCGUAGAUAUUGGGAAGAACACCAGUGGCGAAGGCGGCUCACUGGCCCGUAACUGACGCUGAGGUGCGAAAGCGUGGGGAGCAAACAGG
rnacentral:rRNA from 1 species